rnacentral:rRNA from 1 species
AGAUUAAGUUAUUAAGGGCGCACGGUGGAUGCCUUGGCACUAGAAGCCGAUGAAGGACGUUACUAACGACGAUAUGCUUUGGGUAGCUGUAAGUAAGCGUUGAUCCAGAGAUUUCCGAAUGGGGGAACCCAACAUGAGUUAUGUCAUGUUAUCGACAUGUGAAUUCAUAGCAUGUCAGAAGGCAGACCCGGAGAACUGAAACAUCUUAGUACCCGGAGGAAGAGAAAGAAAAAUCGAUUCCCUGAGUAGCGGCGAGCGAAACGGGAAGAGCCCAAACCAACAAGCUUGCUUGUUGGGGUUGUAGGACACUCUAUACGGAGUUACAAAAGAACAUGUUAGACGAAUCAUCUGGAAAGAUGAAUCAAAGAAGGUAAUAAUCCUGUAGUCGAAAACAUAUUCUCUCUUGAGUGGAUCCUGAGUACGACGGAGCACGUGAAAUUCCGUCGGAAUCUGGGAGGACCAUCUCCUAAGGCUAAAUACUCUCUAGUGACCGAUAGUGAACCAGUACCGUGAGGGAAAGGUGAAAAGUACCCCGGAAGGGGAGUGAAAGAGAACUUGAAACCGUGUGCUUACAAGUAGUCAGAGCCCGUUAAUGGGUGAUGGCGUGCCUUUUGUAGAAUGAACCGGCGAGUUACGAUCUGAUGCAAGGUUAAGCAGCAAAUGUGGAGCCGCAGCGAAAGCGAGUCUGAAUAGGGCGUUGAGUAUUUGGUCGUAGACCCGAAACCAGGUGAUCUACCCUUGGUCAGGUUGAAGUUCAGGUAACACUGAAUGGAGGACCGAACCGACUUACGUUGAAAAGUGAGCGGAUGAACUGAGGGUAGCGGAGAAAUUCCAAUCGAACUUGGAGAUAGCUGGUUCUCUCCGAAAUAGCUUUAGGGCUAGCCUCAAGUGAUGAUUAUUGGAGGUAGAGCACUGUUUGGACGAGGGGCCCCUCUCGGGUUACCGAAUUCAGACAAACUCCGAAUGCCAAUUAAUUUAACUUGGGAGUCAGAACAUGGGUGAUAAGGUCCGUGUUCGAAAGGGAAACAGCCCAGACCACCAGCUAAGGUCCCAAAAUAUAUGUUAAGUGGAAAAGGAUGUGGCGUUGCCCAGACAACUAGGAUGUUGGCUUAGAAGCAGCCAUCAUUUAAAGAGUGCGUAAUAGCUCACUAGUCGAGUGACACUGCGCCGAAAAUGUAACGGGGCUAAACAUAUUACCGAAGCUGUGGAUUGUCCUUUGGACAAUGGUAGGAGAGCGUUCUAAGGGCGUCGAAGCAUGAUCGCAAGGACAUGUGGAGCACUUAGAAGUGAGAAUGCCGGUGUGAGUAGCGAAAGACGGGUGAGAAUCCCGUCCACCGAUUGACUAAGGUUUCCAGAGGAAGGCUCGUCCGCUCUGGGUUAGUCGGGUCCUAAGCUGAGGCCGACAGGCGUAGGCGAUGGAUAACAGGUUGAUAUUCCUGUACCACCUAGUAUCGUUUUAAUCGAUGGGGGGACGCAGUAGGAUAGGCGAAGCGUGCUGUUGGAGUGCACGUCCAAGCAGUAAGGCUGAGUGUUAGGCAAAUCCGGCACUCAUAAGGCUGAGCUGUGAUGGGGAGAGGAAAUUGUUUCCUCGAGUCGUUGAUUUCACACUGCCGAGAAAAGCCUCUAGAUAGAUAACAGGUGCCCGUACCGCAAACCGACACAGGUAGUCAAGAUGAGAAUUCUAAGGUGAGCGAGCGAACUCUCGUUAAGGAACUCGGCAAAAUGACCCCGUAACUUCGGGAGAAGGGGUGCUCUUUAGGGUUCACGCCCAGAAGAGUCGCAGUGAAUAGGCCCAAGCGACUGUUUAUCAAAAACACAGGUCUCUGCUAAACCGUAAGGUGAUGUAUAGGGGCUGACGCCUGCCCGGUGCUGGAAGGUUAAGAGGAGUGGUUAGCUUCUGCGAAGCUACGAAUCGAAGCCCCAGUAAACGGCGGCCGUAACUAUAACGGUCCUAAGGUAGCGAAAUUCCUUGUCGGGUAAGUUCCGACCCGCACGAAAGGCGUAACGAUUUGGGCACUGUCUCAACGAGAGACUCGGUGAAAUCAUAGUACCUGUGAAGAUGCAGGUUACCCGCGACAGGACGGAAAGACCCCGUGGAGCUUUACUGUAGCCUGAUAUUGAAAUUCGGCACAGCUUGUACAGGAUAGGUAGGAGCCUUUGAAACGUGAGCGCUAGCUUACGUGGAGGCGUUGGUGGGAUACUACCCUAGCUGUGUUGGCUUUCUAACCCGCACCACUUAUCGUGGUGGGAGACAGUGUCAGGCGGGCAGUUUGACUGGGGCGGUCGCCUCCUAAAAGGUAACGGAGGCGCUCAAAGGUUCCCUCAGAAUGGUUGGAAAUCAUUCAUAGAGUGUAAAGGCAUAAGGGAGCUUGACUGCGAGACCUACAAGUCGAGCAGGGUCGAAAGACGGACUUAGUGAUCCGGUGGUUCCGCAUGGAAGGGCCAUCGCUCAACGGAUAAAAGCUACCCCGGGGAUAACAGGCUUAUCUCCCCCAAGAGUUCACAUCGACGGGGAGGUUUGGCACCUCGAUGUCGGCUCAUCGCAUCCUGGGGCUGUAGUCGGUCCCAAGGGUUGGGCUGUUCGCCCAUUAAAGCGGUACGCGAGCUGGGUUCAGAACGUCGUGAGACAGUUCGGUCCCUAUCCGUCGUGGGCGUAGGAAAUUUGAGAGGAGCUGUCCUUAGUACGAGAGGACCGGGAUGGACAUACCUCUGGUGUACCAGUUGUCGUGCCAACGGCAUAGCUGGGUAGCUAUGUAUGGACGGGAUAAGUGCUGAAAGCAUCUAAGCAUGAAGCCCCCCUCAAGAUGAGAUUUCCCAACUUCGGUUAUAAGAUCCCUCGAAGAUGACGAGGUUAAUAGGUUCGAGGUGGAAGCGUGGUGACACGUGGAGCUGACGAAUACUAAUCGAUCGAAGACUUAAUCAAUUUUUAAA